AAAAGCUCUGCCUUCAUCAUCUGGGCUUCUCUUCUGGGCCAGGGAAUGAAGCUACCCCUAAAGGGUUGGGCAGAAAAUUCGGGGAGCAGAUAUCUUCUGAGGAUCCUCUUCGACUCUCCCAUGGGCCCUGCACGAUCCUGACAUAGGGUACCACCGAGGGGCGGGUGUGAGAAGAUGAUGUGGGAUUCUCUGGCCAGAUGGACUGGUGCUGGACAGACCACAUGAGAGUGUCUGUAUCCGAAAGAUCAAUGACACGGUCAUCACCUAUACCCCGCCUGCUUUACCCACCCAAGUUCCUGCCAUGGAAGCAUCUGAGGUCGCUGCCACCUGAAUGCUACCUUCACGAGACAUCAUUUGCCCUCCAUGUUUUCAUCAUCAGGUUAUCAUGUCAUUUCUUUUGAAAGAUGACAUGAUGUGGAUUUGAACAAACAGCCCGAGGGGAGAACUGAUGUAUUCCUUAAAAGGGGGUACAUGUACUUCCUUUCUCAAGCACCUUGAAAACAGACUGCCUUCUGUGUAAGAUUUGCCAAUAAGCAGCAAGACACCCAAGGAAGGACCAAAUGAACAGAAACCUUCGAAUAUGCCACACGUAGUCUUCUCCCAACUGAUCUAGCCACAGGGCCACCAGCAUGGCUUGGGCAGCCCUCUCCCCAGACAGAUAAGGGACGGAGUAAAGGAGCCUCCAGGGAACCAACAAUGCCCACAUUUUGCAAGAGCAGAAAGAGUACAUAGGGUGUGAUUUUGUCCCAGAAUUUCAUUGCUUGUUAGCCAAUCUGUGUGGCUGGCAUGAGACCCUUCCCACAGGCCUGGCUGAGCCAAGGGCAGUUUCUAAGAACUCCAGGGUACAGUUAUUGUGUUAAUUUGUCCCCAUACCAAUGCCAGCAUGGAGCCUCUGCUCUCUGACUUCUCAAACUGAACUGACAGCCAGCGCCGGGAAGUUGGCCAAAGGGGUCACAGGAACAAGUACUGAAUGCAGCUGAUUUCAGCUGGCACGUGGGGACCACAUUUACAAGCACAAUCACAUCCAUUCUGUUCCACCAUUACAAAUCCCUGCCUUUGAAGGGGGCUGGGGCGAGAGCAGGGCUCCCCUCGUGGCUCAGUGGUAAAGAAUCUGCCUGUCAGUACAGCAGAUACAGGUUCAGUCCUUGGAUGAGGAAGAU